rnacentral:rRNA from 1 species
UGUUUUAAAGAGCCGCGGUAUUUUGACCGUGCAAAGGUAGCAUAAUCAUUAGUCUCUUAAUUAGGGGCUGGAAUGAAUGGUUUGACGAGAAAUCAUCUGUCUCUUAAUAAUUUAUAAAAUUUAACUUUUGAGUUAAAAGGCUUAAAUUUUUUUUUAGGACGAGAAGACCCUAUAGAGCUUAACAUUUUAUUUUUAUAUAUUUUUUUGUUAAUUUUUCUAUAUAGAAUAAUAAUGUUUUGUUGGGGUGACAUGAAGAAUGAAUAAACUCUUCAUUAUUAAAUCAUUAAUUUAUGUUUAUUUUGAUCCAUAAUUUAUGAUCAUAAGAUUAAGUUACCUUAGGGAUAACAGCGUAAUUGUUUUUGAGAGCUCAUAUCAACAAAGCAGAUUGCGACCUCGAUGUUGGAUUAAGAAAAAUUUUGGGUGCAGGAGCCCAAUAAUUAGGUCUGUUCGACCUUUAAAUUCUUACG